rnacentral:lncRNA from 1 species
GAGGCUUCCCCAAUGGAGGGUGUCCUGGAUAGUGACCAUAUGGUGGCUUGUACACUGGUGGUUUCUUGGGAGGUUCAUACACUGGUGGCUUCUUUGGAGGUUCAUACACUGGUGGUUUGGGUUCUGGCUUCUCUUUCUUUGGAGGUGCAUAAACUGGUGGCUUUGGUGGCUUAGGUUCGUAUACUGGUGGUUUCUUUGGAGGUUCAUAUACUGGUGGCUUGGGUUCUGGCUUCUCUUUUUUUGGAGGUGCAUAAACAGGUGGUUUUGGUGGCUUAGGUUCAUACACAGGAGGCUUCUUUGGAGGUUCAUACACUGGUGGUUUGGGCUCUGGCUUCUCCUUCUUUGGAGGUGCAUAAACUGGUGGCUUUGGUGGCUUAGGUUCAUACACUGGAGGCUUCUUUGGAGGUUCAUAAACUGGAGGUUUGGGUUCUGGCUUCUCUUUUUUCGGUGGUGCAUAAACUGGUGGCUUUGGUGGCUUAGGCUCAUAAACUGGUGGUUUCUUGGGAGGUUCAUAUACUGGUGGCUUGGGUUCUGGCUUCUCUUUCUUUGGAGGUGUAUAAACUGGGGGCUUAGGUUCUGGCUUCUCUUUCUUCGGAGGUUCAUAUACGGGGGGCUUGGGUGGGUUAGGUUCUGGCUUCUUUGGAGGUUUAU